rnacentral:rRNA from 1 species
GAGUCCGCGUUUCAUUAGCUAGACGGUGGGGUAACGGCCUACCGUGGCAACGAUGAAUAGCAGGCCUGAGAGGGUGGCCUGCCAUACUGGGACUGGAACACGGCCCAGACUCCUACGGGAGGCAGCAGUGGGGAAUAUUGCGCAAUGGACGAAAGUCUGACGCAGCGACGCCGCGUGGAGGAUGAAGGUUUUCGGAUCGUAAACUCCUGUCAAGAGGGAAGAAACCUGUUAGAAUUAAUACUUCUAGCAAUUGACGGUACCUCCAGAGGAAGCACCGGCUAAUUCAGUGCCAGCAGCCGCGGUAAUACUGAAGGUGCAAGCGUUAAUCGGAAUCACUGGGCGUAAAGCGCUCGUAGGUGGCUUUGUAAGUCAUGUGUGAAGGCCCACGGCUCAACCGUGGAAUUGCACUUGAUACUGCAUCGCUAGAGUAUAGGAGAGGGAAGUGGAAUUUCUGGUGUAGGAGUGAAAUCCGUAGAGAUCAGAAGGAACACCCGUGGCGAAGGCGACUUCCUGGACUAUUACUGACACUGAGGAGCGAAAGCGUGGGGAGCAAACAGGAUUAGAUACCCUGGUAGUCCACGCCGUAAACGAUGGAUACUAGGUGUCGGGC